rnacentral:rRNA from 1 species
CACGUAGGCGGCGAUUUAAGUCAGAGGUGAAAGCCCGGGCUCAACCCCGGAACUGCCUUUGAGACUGGAUUGCUUGAAUCCUGGAGAGGUGAGUGGAAUUCCGAGUGUAGAGGUGAAAUUCGUAGAUAUUCGGAAGAACACCAGUGGCGAAGGCGACUCGCUAGACAAGUAUUGACGCUGAGGUGCGAAAGCGUGGGGAGCAAACA